rnacentral:misc_RNA from 1 species
UUGCCCUUGGUGUGCCCGCCACAUCCCGCCACACGCUCAACCUCUCUCUCACUGAUACCCGACGGACGGCGGCUUGCAGAGAGGUGAGCACGGAGGAACAGACGCACAGGCAUUCGUUCAGAGCAUUAAAAAGUACGUUUGUGCUUUGCCUUCCUUAGCGCUCCGCUGCGCACUAGAAUCCAUCACUACCCUCGCGCCCUUGCCACCCUCUGCGCCCAGUUAUCCAUUCUACCUUCUCCCUGAUAUCUACGCUUGGAUGCCCUCAAAGGAGUUCUCGGUGCCUUCCCGCGCCGCCUGCCCUGUAUCGUGCUCAUCCUUUGUGAACAGCCGCUUCUGCAGCUUGCCCCUCUGGGAUGAUGCUCAGGUGGUCCAGGAAAACUGGGGCGGCCCGCUGGCUGUGCCCGUAGCGAGCGGCGGGGGCGACGACGGGGGCAAGGAAGCAAAGCAAGCCUUGAGCAAAUCCAAGAAUAUCACUGGUGGCAGGAACGCGCUAACGUGCGCGGCAGAGGCGCACUUUGAGGACGAGGCAACGCGUCACAGCGUCGAGGAUUUUAUCGCAUUGCUCUGCCCGCCGCUACAGUCGGACCCGGAGGCCGGGGAGGUGUGCGACGGGUCCUCGCCCAACGAGGUGACCUGGCUUCGACCGGCGGAGGUGUUCUCCCCUUUCCGUCCAGUGGUGCACCGCAACGUUACACCGUUCGUUAACCCGUACGCAACGGCGGAGACUUUGGUGCCGGUCGAUGCCAAGGCAGAGGAGACACGGUGCCAGGAGCUGUUGUCUGCUGCCGCUUGCAACGCCAACAACAGCACCGGACACCGCAAGAGCGCCGGUCUCGCGCGGCAGAGCGACGUGGCGACUCCUGAGCCGCAGGCGUUUCAUCUGCUGUACCCCGAGACCAUCAGCGUACUGGACACGUUCUCGCAUGAGGAGAGAGGGCUUUGGUCGAACUGCACGCCUACAGAGUCGGUGAGGCGAUAUCGAGCGCUGCCCCCGCUAAUGCAGCCUUACGAUGGCGCACUGAUUGCUGGCUGCGCCGAGACGCCGGCGCAGGCGUGCGAGUCGCGCUACAGCACCAGUCUGCGCCACAAGCUCAAGCAAGCCGAACAGCUGGCUGCCCUAACAAACGCGCCGCCGUUCCUGAUGAGUGCCUUUAACAGCGCUCUGCUGGCGGUGGAGCAGGCGCAGCGGUACGUGCCGGAGGGGUGGUACCUGUGGGAACUUGUAUACCCGCAUGCCCCCGGCACGUGCCACCCAGUGUACAACCCGUUUGGCAAAUACGCCGUGAAGCUGUUCGUCGACGGCGCCUACCGCAAGGUGCUUGUGGAUGACUGCCUGCCAGUAGACGUGCUUGGCCGUCCGCUGCUCAGCACUACAAGCCGGAAGGAGCUCUGGCCAUGCCUAAUCGCGAAGGCCGUGCUGAAGGCGCUCGGCGCCGUCAGCGGAGUGCAGGCCUUGACCUCUUCACCGGAGCUGAUUGUGGCGACGCUGUUGGGCAACUGGGUGCCGCAGUACCUUUCCCCGAGACACAACACCGUCUCUGCGACCGCGCUGCUUCUCCUCUACCAGCGUCAGCUGACGCAGCUGGAGAGCCUGGCGGAGCCGUUUGCGAAAGAGUCGAUCGCAAGCGCAGCGGGGCAUGGCGGGGCCGACGGCACGGGCGACGUUACGGGGAAAGACAGGAAGAACAGUGCGCGUGGCCAGCGCGUGUCGGUGGUCACUGCGCCGCAGAAGCGCACCCCGUCAAUCGGCGCUGGUAGACCUUCGGUGAGGCGGCAGCAGAGCAGCCGUUCAAGUGGAGUCUCUGGCGGUGACAACGAAGAGGAGGACGCACUGAAGCCGCUGAGGGCUACGGAGUAUUGCGAGCCGGUCAUUGAUGAGCCCCUGCCUGAGCAGCCCUUUUACGUCUGCGGCUUGCACGCACCGCCCGCUGAGGCGCUGAAGUCGGAAGCUGCACAUACCGCCCGCGGCGGCUACGGCUUCGGACCGCAGCUAUAUACGAUCCACGCGAUGAGGCCCUUUCGCAACACAGUGGCGCUGUUGCUGCACACCACUCCCCGCGCGUGCCUCUCCGAGGGAGUUUUCGAGGAGGAUAAGGACGCAGACGACGUGAGCACACUGCAUGACUGGAGCAGUCGCACUACAAAACGCGGUGCGCAUGCAGCCAGCUCAGUGAAACCGCCACGUGCUCCCGACGGUGUAGCACCGGCCGACGCCGUCGGUGCACAAGGGGGCCCGACUCCCAUCACGGACAUGGUCGUCAUGGACAGCGACAGAGCGGCUUCUGUGACUUCCUGCUGGCUGACGCUGGAGGAAUUCAUGCUACGCAUGGACGCGAUCAUUGUCUGGCGCAAGCUGGCCGGGCGGUAUGCCAACGCCGUCUCCGUCAGCGGAGAGUCUCUCCUGCGUCACCAAGGCCAUGUCUCUGCGACCGGAGACAACGGGGCCAGUGAUUCCUCGUCAUCAGCGGCGUCGCGCAAGAAGUCACCGCCCGCGCGCCGCGGGGAGACAGCGACGACGGCCGCCGCGGCAUCCGGUGCCACCGCACAGCCCCCUACUCCAUCGCCGCCGUCGAGUAUGUGGUGGAAGCUGACGGCCGAGAAGGCGUCGGAGGCGGUUGUCAUCGUGUCGUGCCCGGCGCUGACGGAGGCCGUCGGUCGCGGCACCCUCGCCGAAAAGGUGCCGCCGGCGACGGCGCCAUUGUCUCACUCUUGGCUGUCGGUGGGGUUGCCGGACAAGGUGGCUAGCUGUGAGGAGUCACUCGAGCCCGCGGGGGCACAACUGCAGCGGCGCGUGCACUUUCACCACGUUCAGUGGGAUCGUGCGGAGCCGCUGAACCACAUCGGAUCCCUCACCUACGCGAACGGCGUUCUGUGCUCGACGGUGCUGUACUUCCGCCCCGGUGUGCAUCUGAUCCGCGUUGAUCUACACCACGUGCAGGUCGCUGAUAAAAUUUCCUUUCUCUCUGACGCUGAGAUGGACGUGCAGUUGGACCUGUCGCACGACGCCAGCCGCGACGGAUUUGCAUGCGUGACAGACGCCGGCGUAUACCCGGCAGUGCAGUCGUGCGACACGGAGAAUGUGUGGCUGAAGCGCGUCUUCACCCUCGCUGCCCCGACGUGUGUGACGCUGCAACUGUCGACGCUGGACUCCACCGAGGAUGUGGGGGCGCACCGGCAGAUUUACACCGCCGCUAGCCGGGCAUCUGCAGCAGCGUCGGGUGGGAGGGGCGGCGGCAACCACAGCAACGCGGCGGCGAGCGGGCGGGGCGCACCGCACGGUGGGGGCACCGCUGCGGGGGCUGGAAAGUCUGGCAACGCGCCUCCGGGGCCAGGCUCCACUGCCGCGGACGGAAAGAAGCGCGGUGAUGGAACGCUGACGGCGGAUGCGAAGAAUGGCGUCGUAUCAACCGUCCCGGCCAGGGAUGCCUCGGUGCCCAUCUUGCGGUUCACCUCGCUCGUGCUGGUGAACCUAGACCGCCCAGAGGACUUCUGCGUCGGGACUGCUGGACGACUGGUGAAGCUGCAUCUGAAGCCGAACGAGAAGGGGUAUCUGAUCAUGGCAUACACCGUUGUGCCGUCCCUUAUGGCGCAAAAUGCGCAACGGCAUAACAAGGCCGCUGACGUGGCCGGCGGUACGGGCUCGUUGCUGCCAACGAUCACGCCGAUGGACUCGCUCGCAGAGGAGGAGGGGCUCCAGCCGCCAGAGUCGUCGUCGUUGGGUAACUCAUUUUCUCCCGCUGCCUCCACGGCGCCACCGCCGCUCUUUCCUGCGGGGCGGUGGAAGCUGGUACUUCGCUCCAAUGCGGAGCUGCAAACCUUCGACGCCGUUGCCCACGACUUGCAUAACGUGGCGAUCGUGGCUGACCUCCCUCGUGGUGGAUCGCCGAUCCUGUUCCGCCGCACGUGCACGAUUGUGGAGACUACCCAUGUCUCCAUCGUCGCGGACCUGCGUGCCCCCGUUCCCAUGCCGUACACCGUGCGCAUCGUGCGCCUGCCUGCGCCAGCAGCGUCGACGUCGACAUCCACUACACCGAGAGCGCUGCGGGGACCUAACAGCAACAUCCUGCCUGCCAGCGUGCCGGAGCCGCUCGCGAUAGAUGCUGGCCGCGGUGCCGGGGCAGCGCCUUCGCGCGGGAGCAUGUUUGUCGUAUACGAGUCGCCCCCCACGCAGCACCGCCUCUUUGUCGCCGACGUUCUUCUCAGUGCUGCGGCCGACACGAGCUUGGCGAAGGGCGGCAAAGGGCCUGCCACGUCGAGUUCGACAGGGGGAGGGAUGACGGCCUACGCUAUUGAGGCCGCCGUCGCCGAGGCGGACGCUGCGGCGUGGAACGAGCGCUGUCGGCGGAGCCAAGAGGACGCGUUUCUGCAAUACCGCGAGGCUGCAGAAGAACAGGCCUCCGUUUCGAGCGGGCGCGACCUGGCCGAGUACCAGCGAGACCCUGUCGCCUUUGUGCAGCGUAAGAGGGAGGCCUCCGCUCAGCGCCGACAGUUUGCCACGGAGGCUGCUGAGAAGGCCACACCGCGCUCGACAGCGAUAGCGCGGAAGCGUAGUGGCAUGACACGGCGACAGAGUCAUCACCUGUCUGCGGGGCUGGAGAACCUUCCGAAGGACUCGCCUCGUCGGCACUCAUCGUGCACGCAGCCAGAAAUGGCGCAGGAGGGCGACAUUCGACACAGCCUGGACAAUGUAGACCCCGACACAAUCGUACGCAUGAGCGUUCACCUGAGCUUCUCCACCUCGCGCGCAGAGGUGAAGGCAGACACGCCGGCGCCAGACGCGCUCGUGGAGCUACGCAAGCACAUGAGGGAGACGGUGUCGUGGCUGCAGGAGUGGAAUGAGCCCGGCUCCGCUGGUGGGGACUCGACGGCAGCCGCGUGCAGCGUUAGCCCCAUGGGGGCUGCCACCUCGUCGGGCGGCAAAUCGGGGGCGCAGCGGGGUCAGCGCGAUGCGGCCGCCGCGGCUGCCACCGUGGAGGAUGCUUUGCGAUCCGAGGCAGCCCGGCAGAGCCGCGUCGAAUACCUGCGCAACCCGCAGCACCUCUUCGUCCCCUCCUUCGACUCAGAGUACAACACGGACGCUGCCGAAACGCCCACCAUCGCCUCCUUCGCACAUCGAGCGAGGCACGACGCCAGCGGCAACAGUAGCGGGACCGGGGCUGCUCACUCCGUAGCAACCGGCGGCAUUCAAGGCGCACGCUCCUAUCGCAGGGAGCUCUCCCAGGCGAGCGUAGGCACGUGUGCGAGUCUCUCGGACGACCCUCAUGCGCCGUACUCGCCACCCGUGCUGAUGCAGGAUGGACCCGCCACGCAGUUUCGCUACGCGGCCCCGCUGCAGCAGCCGCAGUACUGCAUCGAGCUCCUGCCACUGCGAAGCUGGGAGGAGUCUCCGAGCGUUGCCAGUCAAGGUAAGGAUGGCGCUGGGGGCCUUGGUGCCGCUGGGGCUGCGGCGACCAACCGCGGAAAGCGACUGAAGAGCUCAGGCUCACCGUCUGCGGCCUUGUCUGCACCAGCUCGUCCGCACGGUAGCGGGCCGGUGAUGACGAGCGGCAGCUCUCCCCGAUCCUUUGCGGAGGUGACGCCAAGCGGCCUCUCUACCGCAGCUGCUGCCGCCGCAUGCACCCUGUCUUGCCCGCUCACAGCCGCCGAGCGCGAGACGAUCCUUCUGCGCAUGCGUCGACCCCUGGCCGAGGCGUCGGAGAGCUGGGACCUCGCUCUCGGCCAGGCACGCGUUGCGAAGAGUGAGAGCCAGGCGCAGCUCCGAAGUAGCUUCCACGCGUACUAUGAGGCGAUGGUGGAGCAGAAGGCGGCGAGCGGCGACAUGAGUAGCAUAGCUGUUCCCGUUGUGUACCACUCCCUGCUGGGUCUCAAGGAGGAAGACCUGGGGGUGUCACUCAGGCCUACAAAGUCGCUUGUGCUUACGUAGGUCUAUUGGUUUGCUUGCGGGGUUCUUGCCGGGCACCGACCAUCCCUCCGUUGUGCUCAUCGGUAGACGCGAUUAGGGGUGAACUCAGUGUUGCGCUUGUCCCUUUCUCCUUCACCUCCUCCUCCCCUCUCUCUUUUGCCCCCCUGCAGCGUGUCCAUGUGGGUCUUUCCCUGAAGGGCGCUUCGUUCAUCGACUUUACGGUCUUCAUUCAUGUACAAGAGCAUCUUUUUGUUUUCUGUGGUCGGCGUUGCGUGAUAAGCGCCUCCUUUUGCGUCUCCGUCUUUCAUGCUCCCUCUUCGUGGGCGCACGCGGCGUCUGAGAGGCUGUCAGUCUGCCUUGCAGCGCCUCUCCCGUGGCCCGCCGAUGUACUAGGGCGUUGCCUCUGCCUUCCCCCUCUGCCUCCCUCUCCUACGCUGAAAUGUACGCGGAGGCUUUUGAAUGGAAGCGGAUCUGCGCGUGUGUGGCGGAGUGACGAGAGGGGGAGAGAGGGGUUGCGGGAGAAACCCGUUCCGCUCUCGAGCAGUGUCCCUGGCGACACCUUUCCGAAAGGUAAACCAAACGGUUUAACUGAAGCACGCAUGCAGCAGGAAGUGGCGGCUCCGUGCCGGCUGUGGCUCAUGCCCAGGGGAUGUGCGAUCCCCACCGCCGGCAUACAUCCGGCCUUUGUCGCGACCAAACGAUCUG